AGUGAACGCUGGCGGUAGGCCUAACACAUGCAAGUCGAACGGCAGCACAGUAAGAGCUUGCUCUUACGGGUGGCGAGUGGCGGACGGGUGAGGAAUACAUCGGAAUCUACUUUUUCGUGGGGGAUAACGUAGGGAAACUUACGCUAAUACCGCAUACGACCUACGGGUGAAAGUAGGGGAUCUUCGGACCUUGCGCGAUUGAAUGAGCCGAUGUCGGAUUAGCUAGUUGGCGGGGUAAAGGCCCACCAAGGCGACGAUCCGUAGCUGGUCUGAGAGGAUGAUCAGCCACACUGGAACUGAGACACGGUCCAGACUCCUACGGGAGGCAGCAGUGGGGAAUAUUGGACAAUGGGCGCAAGCCUGAUCCAGCCAUACCGCGUGGGAGAAGAAGGCCUUCGGGUUGUAAAGCCCUUUUGUUGGGAAGGAAAAGCAGCAGGUUAAUACCCCGCUGUUCUGACGGUACCCAAAGAAUAAGCACCGGCUAACUUCGUG
rnacentral:rRNA from 1 species